UUUUUUUUUCAGGUAAAGCAAGUAUAUGAUUUCUGACAUCUAAAAACAAGAUCAGGCAUGAGGUGGAAGAGCACCCUCACGCUCCUGAACUAGAGUUUAGAUUGCUUGCGUGGAAAGCGAUAGAUUUAGUAAAUCGACAUGAAUUUUGUGGAGAACAUCUCACUUUUUCCAUAGCACCGCCACCGGCGGUAAACAUUCACGCUCCAAACCCAAACAUGGCAUUAGGGUUAGCAUUCAUUUCCGCCAUUGUGUAUAUGAAUGCAUCACGAGAUAUGGAGUACUACCUUGGAUGGAGGCUGUUCUUGACAACCUUCUGGCCGUACUUCCUCCACUUGUAGCCGUCGUCCAGCACAUCCACGUCGCUCCUGGUCUGGAAGCAGAACCUCGGCUCCCUCAUCUUCCUCCUCACCUUCAUCCGCCCUUUCUCCCCCGCCGCCGCCGCCGAGCCCUUCCACCUGCUCAUCACCCCAUCAUAUAAGCGAUCCCAAUCAGUUCAGCGCGUGCGAAAUCUCCACCGCCCCGGGGACCAAGAAACCCUAACGGGAUGGUCAACCACAUAAAAGUACUACUCGCAGAUGCAAUCAAUCAUACGUACCAUGAACUUGACCCGUGCAAAUUGGUGGCGGUGGUGGUGCUAGCGAUCUCGCCGGCGGCUUUCGCCGCUGAGGUGCCCGCCGCCUGCGAAAACCAAGAUUACAAGGAUCAAAGGACAACCCAUCAUUUAAUCAACAGGGCGCACGCGCGUCGCAUCACUCACCUCGCCGGCGUCCAGCACCACGAAACUAGCGGGCUUCUCGCCGGCGCCGGCGCCAGAGCUGCAGAACGGGAUCCCAGGAAGAAGCAGCGGGUAGAGGCCGCCGUGGUGGUGGUCGUCCGAAGAGAGCAUCACACCAUGGGUCCCGCCCUGCUCCUGGAACAACGGCAUCUGCAGAAGCUUGUGCUGGUUCGGCAGCGGAGCAAGAGGAGAAGGGGGAGGGACGGCGCGUGGGCUGAAGAGGCUAGGAAGGCAGGUCUCGAACUGGCUGCUCCCCUCCAUGCACGCAUAUAACAAGAUCUAUCGACCAUGCAGGCGUGGUGUGGUGGGCUGCUGGUGGUGGUGGUGAUCAAUGGGAUCCAUGGAUCAGAGUGGUCUUGGGGGCAUGAGUGAGUGAGAUGCCGAGGAAGAUUUCUGUCUUUUAGGUUAAAAAAGAAGUGGUGGACAAGCUUGGUAGCCCAGCUGGGAGCUAGGUCCGGACAGGACAGCCCCUUUAAAGAGCCUUUUGCUCAAAUGGUGGUGUGAUGGCAGUACCUGUUCCUGUAGCGGUGUUGUACGCGCUAGGCUACUGCAGUAGUGCUUGCAUGCAGAUUCAUCAUAUCUAUCUAGCACUUGCUUUUUAGGCUAGGCUUCUACCCUUUGAUGUCACAUACUCUACAAACUAACGUGUUCUUAUUGUUCGUUUUUUUCUAACCCCCAUCAUAUUUCUUGACCAUCCACAAUCAUCCCUCAGAUAUUCCCAUUUCCCAAUAUCUUUACAUCUAUUAACCCCUUGAUCUACUUCCUCCAAUCGCAAAUAUAGCUAGGUCUAUUUAGGUUUGUCCUAUAUUGAACUUUUUUAACUUUGUUUAUCGAUAUCUAAAACUUUAUAUAGGUUGAUAAUGCAAGAUUAUUGACAUUGACAGAUUUAUUGUGAAUGAUAUGCUUUCACGAUACAUAACAUUUUUCAUUUAAGAUAAUAUAUCUUUAGUCAAACUUCAGAGAAGUUUGAUAUAGGACAAACCAAAAUGGAUAUAUGUUCCUGAUAAAAGAAAGUAGUUGCUAACACAGCCACUUGCAUUAUUUGGUCCCAUUUGGUAGAGUUCCGACUCCUCCCAAAACGGCUUCAGCUCAAGCUUCUUUGAUGGAGUGGCUUCUCUAGUGGAGUUGAAGUCAUUUUGCAAAAUAUUUGGUAAAAUGGCUUCUCAAUAGUAGUAUGGGUAAUUUUAUGAUCACUUAAUGCUUGGAGAGAGAGGAGAAGCCGGAGAAGCCACUAUUUUUGGCUCCUUCUCUCUAGUGUAAGCCGUUUUGCGGCUUCUCCCCGGCUUAGAUGGUGGAGCUGUUUUGAAAUUGCCUCUUUGGUAUGACUUCACCAAAAAUCGGUGGAGAAACAAUUUGAUAAGCCCUACCAAAAGAGACCUAGAUCCCUGGCUCCAAAUGCCCCUCAUUCAGGUGGCCAGGGCAAUGAGAAAGGUAUAGGUGAAUUUGGACCCUAAGGCAACUAAUCUAUGACCGUCCUUUUUCUAUAAUACUUUGUUUGCAGUUAUAAAAUAGCGCUUUAUAAUACAAAUCCAACUAUAUCGAUCGAUUUCUGUAACUCAUAUUUCAUCUUUCAGAUGCAAUGGGGUAACCUUAAGCUCUUAGACGUUUUGAUUCUGGUAUGUGUGCUCCCUAAGUUUAAUUAGUUCUGACCUUAUAAUAGUGCAGUAUGUUCUUUCGAGUUAUCUGUUUAAUUAUUUGAUAUGAGCUGGACUCCUAGAAACACAUAGUUAAAUUGAAUGAAGUAUGCUACUAUUUUUCAUCAUAACCGCCACUCAAACUAUUGCAAGAACACCUUGCAUUGCUUGGUGGUAAAAAAAAAAAGCAUUCGCACCACGGCUUUAAAUUUAGUGCUGUUUUUCAACAGAACUUUCCCCCUACUUUUGAGAAAAAAAUCAUGAGGAGCAUGCCUUUUUUGACUGGAAGUGAGGAGCAUAUGCUACUGGAGCGCUCGAUAGGGGUACAAGAAUGCAGUGAUUGUACCUUUUGUUCCCUGCAAUUGCUCAAUAAUUGUGGGGCACUCCACCGAAAAAAAGCUUGGGCACACUCGAUCGAUGGAAAGAGAAACUCCGCCGGACCCUUUAAACAGUCCCAUAUUCCAAGUUUAGAUAUUCCAAAUUUAAAGUUAAGUUAAAAAACGCAGCUAGACUCUCUACUUAUAUCCUUAUUUAAGCUUCACCCUCCAUUCCUAGAAAGUUUAUAAGAAGCUCUCUAUUCAUAGGAGUUGUUACUAGGUUGGAAGUAUUUUUGUGACCUCAAAAAAUAGAGAAUCUCCAUUUACCCUUUGGAGCUUUGAUUGAAGGGCUAAGCCUAUAUCACAUAUGCAGCCACUCGAUCCACUCUUUUCUCUCGAAACACCUCCAUGAUAUCUACCGAUAGUAGCUAGCUACCUGCACGUGUACACACACAUGAUACAUGUGUGGAUGCAAAUGCUAUCUCAUUGUCAUUGAGAACACAAUGGCCUGGUUUGGUUCCAUUUGCUUAUAUUUAAGCAAGUGUCACAUCAAUGUUUAGAUACAGGAGUAUUAAACGUAGACUAUUUACAAAAUCCAUUACAUAAGUGGAGGCUAAACGGCGAGACGAAUCUAUUAAACCUAAUUAGUUCAUGAUUUGAUAAUAUGUUGCUACAGUAAACAUUUGCUAAUGAUGGAUUAAUUAGGCUUAAUAGGUUCAUCUCGCUGUUUAGCCUCCACUUAUGUAAUGGAUUUUGUAAAUAGCCUACGUUUAAUACUCCUAAUUAGUAUCUAAACAUUGAUGUGAUACUUACUUAAAAAUAAGCAAAGGAACCAAACGCCUCCAGUAUAAUGCAAUGCAAGAAGCAUGAUGAAUACGUACACAAAUGAAGCAUCUACGACGUGCAUGCUUUGUAGACACAGUACCAUUGGUACAGCUGACACAACGGCCCAGUUACUAUUUGUAAUGGAAUCUUUGCUGUUCAGGCGAGAAAAACAACACGGGCACACAGUGACACAGACAUGGCCAUCUUCGACGCUGCACAGGAGAGGAACCGGGCCGUGUGUGCAGCUUGCGUUCGUGCCAAUCAUAUGUCUGAAGUGGCAAGUGGGGCGUGGUCAUGCACAUAUGGUCACGCCCAUGAUACACCGAUUGAAAAAACUAGGGUUCUUCUCAUGUUGGGCAGGUGGUGGGCCUAAUACGCCAUUACCAAGAGCAGCCAUGCAUGACCAACCAGCUGAUCCACAGAUCGCAGGCUCGCCGCAGCGCGCGCGCACGCAGCAUGCAGUUGCAGCUAGCGGCAAGCACUCACGCUGGUGACCCGGUGUUUUAAUUUCCGGAGAUUAGGAUCUCAGCCGCUGAAGCAAGCUGCAGCCUGCAGGGGAUGAGAGGGUGUUAUCAUUGCAGCUGCUGCAAAAGGCCUCUUCCUACCAUCAGCCAUGCCUCCCUCGGUCCCUCCCCAUUUGGGCCACUCGUUUGUGCUUGGGUUGUGCAUGCCCAGCCGGACAGCCCUCUUGUCUCACUGUCUGUCCUUUUGCCUUGCCUCAUCUCGAUCUCUUCCUCCCCAAAUCCGAUGAAAGUUUUUUACAGGAUUGCGUUGUGAUCACAACUGGACUACUCAAUUCCGUAGAUCCUCAGAUCCAAGUGCAGUGAUGCGCGGACAGGUGAUGAAAUCAGUCAGACAGGAAGCAAUGCUUGUGAAGUGGAGUGGCGGCGCUGUAGGUUGUACAGCACAACGCAGCUCCGUUGCCAUCUGUUAUUGCAUGGCACGUUCGUCAUCCUGGAAAAUCUAGAAAGGACUACACCAGAGGCGAAGUGAAACGGGCAGUGUACGUGCUGGGUGUCUACCGCUACAGAAACAGCCUAGUACUCUGUAAAGUUUGUGCAGCAAGAAGUCAGGGAUAUGCAUGGGCAUGGGCAGCGGCAAGUAGCAGUACUUGUUCUACUAGUAGUAGCAAAAUAGCAAAGCAGUAGGUGACAGGCCAACCAAGGCAGCUUGCUAGCCUAGGUGGCUAGCGGAUAUAGCAUGCAGCGUCGUUGCGUGCAACGAGCAGUUGUUUUCUCUAUUCCUAAUGCCUAAAGUUUGGAUGUGCAAAAUUACUGUUGUAGCAUUGUAGUACACUGUAGCGUUUCGUUUAUAUUUGUGAAUUAUUAUCCAAAUAUUGACUAAUUAGACUCAAAAGAUUCGUCUCGCAAAGUACAACAAACUGUGCAAUUAGUUUUUGAUUUCGUCUACAUUUAUUACUCCAUGCAUGUACCACAGGUUUGAUGUAAUGGGAAUUUUUUUUUCAUAGUGUCAAAAUUGGGAGUUUUGGAACUUUAGUACUGAUAUCGGAUGUUUAAUACUAAUUAGGAGUAUUAAAUAUAGUCUAAUUACAAAACUACUUGCAUAGAUGGAGUCUAAUUCGCGAGGCGAAUCUAUUAAACCUAAUUAGUCCAUGAUUUGACAAUGUGGUGCUACAGUAACCAUUUGCUAAUGAUGGAUUAAUUAGGCUUAAUAGAUUCGUCUCGCGAAUUAGUAUAGGAGUUCUGCAGUUAGUUUUAUGAUUAACUCAUGUUUAAUCUUCGUUGAAUAUCCGAUGUGACCCUUAGCCCUUAGCCACACUUUUCAUCCAUCUGGCCGGGCCUAGCCGCCUAGUCGUCGUUGCGUUCAGAGUCAUGGUCAUCUUACCCUCCUGGCGGCAAAAUGGCCAUCAUUGCUCAGAUAGACACGGCACCGGUGCCGUUUGCCCCGGAGGAGGGCACCAAAGGACUUGCAUAUGAUCCACGCCAUGCAUGUCUGCCUGCCCCCCGUAGAUAAGCCGGUCCUACACAAGAAAAGAAGGACGUGUGCAGAAAAGUUGCUUGGAGUUGCCACUACCCCUCUUCUUUUUGUUUAUAUAAGUUUGUUUCGUUAUGAUAAAACUUAAAUAAAAAUAUUCUAUUAAUACAUAAUUUUGUUGUACGAACUUGAUGUCCUUACAUUCGUUUUUAUUGUAAUAAAAUAAUUGCUGAUCAAAGCUUUGUCAUACAUCUUAGAAAGACAGAAAAUACUACAUGUAUAAUCACUUUAGUAAAAAGUAAAAUUUAAAUAUUUAAAUCAAUUGUGUAGACUGUUAUAAAUGUCAUGCUUCAAUCGUACUCAAACGGGUUGUAUGUCAAACAUUUAUGUUCUAAGAAAGAGACAUGAGCUCUACCCAAAUUGAACCUCUCAGUGGUUGCAACGCCGCGCCAUGGGACAAGACCACCUAAUUCUUGGGUGAAAAUCCUUGUUCAUUUCUGAAAAUUAUAGAUGAAGCAAAUGGUUGCUGGAUGGUUUGGCUUGUUGGUUUUCAAAUGGUUAAUUUUCCUUAGAUGCUUAGUGUUAAGUAUUUUUUUUAAAAAAUUUCUAGUUCAUGCAAUUUUGCUCUUCAGGGUAGGUUUGUGGGUUGCAUCUUUGUGUUGUAAAACAAGUAUUUGUUCUUAAUGAAAUGUUUAUUUGGACAAUUUCUCAGAGGAAAAAAAGCAUUAUCAAAAGGGGCUAACUGUCAUAUGCCGCCCUAUCAAGGGAACGUACGGUCUUUGCUUUAGUUUCUCCAUUAUCGGGUGCUACGAUCGUCGUCUCGCCUGAUGCUGAUGGCCUGAUGCGCACGAUAACCUCUGACCGGAAUCAUGAGCCAUUCGAAUACCUCCAAAUCGAUUUUCCAGGUUCCACCGCUCGUUUGUUCACACUCUCGACCGGCCUAGAGGUCAGACUAUCAUGACGCGCCCCCAUCUCAUCCACCUGACCAUCUCUCUCUCUUAUGAUGGUGAUUUGGCCCUUUGGCUCCUUGCCGGCUCCCUUUUCUCACCACCGUGCAGUGGCAUCGCCUGGGACUGGAGAACGAGCUCAGACGUGCGUUCAGCGUUCGAGUCUCGGCCCACGAAAUGGUUGCUCCUCCGGUCCUCCCACCUAGCUCGAUCGAGCAAACCGCUAGAUUGUCUGCUGUCAUCGUCCCUACGGUUCGCAUUUUGCGACCGCAGCAAGAGACCGGGGCGAUUGCCUCCCAUCUCACCUGUUCAGUUCUCCUUGGAACGGGAUAGCGACCGAUCCGUGCAGUGCCGCCGUGCACGCAGCACGCACAGGUGGUGGCCUUCUCUGUACAGUACUACGGCGAUGUGGGCGCCGCGGUCGCAGGCUUUCGGCGCCCCCACCACCACGGUCGCGGCCUGGCAGGAACAGCAUCAUUUUCACCCGCACGCACACCACAAGUACUGCGUUUGCCGCCCGCUUCCCCCCGACACGCGCCCACGGCAAACGCGGCCUGCCCCGUCCUGACGUGCGCGCGCGCGCCCCCUCUCGCUCCUCGCUGGGCACCGCCACCGCGACGGCACGCGCCGGCCGGCCGGCCGGUCGCUCCCGCCGCAUUGUCAAAUCAGGCGGGGCGCGCGAGAGGCUCAUGCGCCCGUGCCCACGCGUGCCGCCAUGCAGCCCGCGGCCGGCCAGCUCCAAACGCCCGCCGCCCUCCGGUCGCGCGGCAUCACUGCAUUAGCGUGUGGCUCGGGGUCGGGGGAUUCUUCUUGUUGUGUCCAAGCCGUCGCGGGGUCACAGAAAAGGCUUCCAGUUCCAGACGUCGCUGUCCAUCCCAUCGACGCAAGUACGAUACGCCUAUAAUAAUACUAUAUUGGCCUAGGUUUAUUCCAUUUGUGACACGAUCAUAGGUAGGUAGCGGUAGGCCGUAGGUGUUUGAUCCGCUUCGUACUCACACCGCGUGUACCCCCGAGGCAAGAGCCUGAGCCCUGCUGGCCUGCUCGGUGCUCGCAGGCUGCACUGCACGCAUCGGGAAGAGAAAGAAAGAGGGGCUCACAGUCUCGUACUGUCGUACAGGCCAGGAUGACGGAAGAAAAUCCAGCACCCUAGAUUUCUCAUCAUGGUAUGCCACUCGUGCCAGUGCUAGCGCACAUGUACUUAGGGCAUGCAGUAGGCUCCUCCCUUCGAGCCUAACCUAACGAAACUCCAUUCGUCAGGGUCUCCGGUUAAACUCUAUAUUUAGCUUUAUGAUCAGUAACAAAAAAUAUAUCUUAAAUUGAUAACCCAGUGUUAAUAUUACUUAAAUUCGUUAUUGAACAUACUGUGCAGCUAUUUUGAAAAAUUGCCGAGCUGCCUCGUAGCCUACCUUUGGUAGCGGCGGGCACAGUGCGACGGGGAGCGUGACAUCUAAUCUGAUCGCCGCCUGUCUGUCAUCAGCUGGACUCGAGAUGGCCCUUCUGAUGUGAUCGCAGGAUCCCAUCCGAUCUUUGAUGCCUGGACGCCGGGAUCGAGCCCCAAUCCCCAUCCGCUGAUGUGAGUAUUUUAUCCAUUCUCCCUUCGCAUUGUCGCCUCCUCACUGGCAAGGUGCGCUUUGUCAUUGCCCCGAAAGCAAGCGAAGAUCAGGCCAGCGUAUACUGAUUGAUCCCUCUGAUGAGACGGCUCCGACUGGACGAGAGUAGUUUACCUAGCCCACUGAGAGUUCUGAUUAAAGAGAUGGAAGCUCAAGCGUCGAGCUCCUUGGACGCAUGCUUGCUGUGGCUGGAAAGGAGAACGGAAGAGUUGAGAGCUAGAAAUUCUGGAAUCCUUAACAAGGUUGCGCUGCAGUCCCCUUCUCUGUGUUUUCUCUUCUGACGAGAGGACUGCAGUUCCAAAAAGUUGGUCCGAUCACAACAAGCCGAUCGAGUGAUCAGGACCGACCCAAUAAGGCUAUUGGGCCGAAAUCAACAAGGCAUGUACGGGUACGUUUUGGGCUCCAUCCAAGAUACCCAACCCAACUCAACUGACUAUUGGAAUUUUUAUAUUUUUAUAUUUUAGUAUUUUGCAAAAAUAUAUGGCUAAAUAAAAAAAUUGCAAAUUAUAUACCUAUACCGCCUUUUGAAACAGCGGAAGGUGUACUUGUAGCAAGCUACCGCCAGUUGAACCGGCGGUAAGCCCCCUCCUCUAGCAGUACACAUUCAAAAAAUUAUAACUAAUUCAUAUGAACUUGGAUAGAGAUAAAAUUUUAUAUGAUAAUUGUAGAUCUCGACGAGAUCUACAACUUUGUAUUUCAAACUUUUUUCAUUUGAUAUCAUCUUGGUGCUCAAAUAAUCGACACACACAUUUCAGAUCUAAAAUUUAAUUUUAGAUCUGAAACUUGUGUCGAUUAUUUGAGCACAAAGAUGAUACCAAAUGAAAAAAGUUUGAACUAUAAAGUUGUAAAUCUCAUUGAGAGCUAUAAUUUUUAUAUAAAACUUAUCUCUAUCCGAGUUCAUAUGAAUUAGUUAUGAUUUUUUUAAAUGUGUGCUGCCCAGUUUCAGAUCUAAAAUUUGAAUUUUAGAUCUGAAACUUGUGUCGAUUAUUUGAACACCAAGAUGACACCAAAUGAAAAAAGUUUGAAUGAAAAAGUUUAUCUCAAUCUGAGUUCAUAUGAAUUAGUUAUUAUUUUUUGAAAGUGUACUGUCCAGAGGAGGGAACUUACUGCCGGUUCAACCGACGGUAGCUUGCUUAUAGAUUUGCAAUUUUUUUGUUAGGCCAUAUAUUUUUGCAAAAUACUAAAAUAAAAAAAAUAUGAAAAUAAAAAAAAUCUGACUAUUGGGUCAGGAACACUCUUAGCUCGGCCUUUUUCAAGAAAGCAACCAGAUUGCAACGAAACCAUCUCAGACAAACUUUACACGAUUCUCUCUUGUUUACAGAAUUACAGCUGCGAAUUGACAUUCUAGUCACAAGUUGUUAGCGGAGAGUUAGGAUGAGAGCCCCCCACCCUCCUCUGCCACCCCGCUGCCUGCCGGCGGCGGCGGCAGCCCCUACCUACCUCCGCAGACCUUCUCCUGAAAAACAAACCCCCCAGUCGCUACGCCCCCCAUCCUCAGCCAUCCCGCAUUCAAAAAGCACCUCGGAAAAGUUCUUCAGUAUCUCCCCACCACCACCUCCCCGGGGAGGCUGGCCGUCGCUGCUCGACGAAGAUUGGGUACCGGAAUCGCCAGAUCUGCAGGCCAAUUCGCCAGAUCUGUGGCUCCCUUUGCAAGAUCUGAGGCCUGCCAGCCUGAAUCCCCCUCUGGCCAAACGGGAUGCUAUGCUGUCCUAUGCGGAGGUCGUCACACGUGGACAAUUCAUUUCCCCCACCGGCCCAACCUUCCCGCGAAGCCGUGAAGACGGAUGUACUCUAGCCCGCGUGAGAAGGAGUAACUCCGAUGACAUGAUGGCUCCACGGCGCAUUCAAGACCUAGCGACGUCAACGGCACGACAAGCCGGGCCCUGACGACACACGGAGCUACACCACCUAGCGCCAACAACACCUCAACACCCUCCAAUGCGCCCGGAAUGGCAGCCAGUGAGGCGCCGCAAGAUGCAGCAGCGUGCGCCGCCCGAGAAGCUGUGACGGGACGGCGGAAGUGACCAGCUCUACAAAAGCACUUGAAGGAGGCCACCAACCAAGGUGUUACUCGCCUUCAAGCGCGUGACCGCGGGACGCUGUUUCCGGUGCCUCGCUUCAGACCACCUCGCAUCUGUGUGCCGCGACCCCGUGCGCUGCUUCUGGUGCCGCCGUUUCGGCCACAGAGAACGCGCCUGCAGGGCGGCACGGUCACCAGCUGCGCAGGCACCUGCCUCCUCACAAAACCAAGCUCCCACGAGACGCAGGCCGGCCCUUGGCACCACGUCGCCAAUCACCCGACGACGACCACCCGCAGCGCCACGCACCACAGCUCCUGCCAGUUGCCGGCCGACCGCCAACGAGCCGUCCAUUGCCCGACGUCCACCCCCCACAGCACCACGCCAUACUGCCCUCGCCGGCCGCAGGCCGCUACAGCAUUCCAAUCCUACCGAUCGUCCUCCACCCACUGAGCCAUCACCGAGAAAGCAACCCCCGCCACCACCGCAGAGAUCGAAAAGAACCUCCUUAACCACAGCCAGCAUGGCCAUAGGGGAUCCUCACACGCAGCUAGAAGUGGAAACAGUGUUCGUCUCCAGCUCCUUCCACCUCGAGCAUGACGCGCGGGAUUGGGAGGCCUGCGCGCUCGUCCCAUGGGCGCUGCACCUGCCGCCGGAUGCAGGAGCUCGGGACAUCACCAACCUCAUUACCAGAGAGCUCCGCCUGCAGCCCGGUGAUGUCACCGUCACGCUACAUCAGCCGGAGCCCUACCUCGUCCGGUUCGAGCACGCGGCACAUGCUGCGGAGGCGUGCCGCCGCGGACGCUUCAUUGGAGGGGGCAUCGACAUUUGCCUCCGCACAUGGUGCAGCCUCACGCACGCCCUCGGCUUUCGCAUCUUCUAGAGGGUGCGCCUUUGCCUCGACGGUAUCCCGUCCCACGCUUGGACGCCGGAAAUCAUCGAGAGAGUCGUCGGCCACAAGUGCGCUCUGCAACACAUCGUCACCAACCUCAUCCAACCGGCAGACUCCAGGCACAUUGAUCUUUGGGCAUGGACGGUGGACCCGAGCGAGAUCCCUAAGAAGGUCUGGCUCGCCUUCACGCACAGUCCGGCGACCAUGUCCUCUGCUUUCUCUGUCUCGCCUUCACGCUCGCCACGACCCGCAGGAGGACAGCGACCACACCAAGCGUCGGGUGGCCAGACAACCCUGCAACGACCGUGCUUUUGUCUGGCCAUCCCGCCAUGGGGACGACAACGACGACGAUGGCCAUAGCGACUACGACCAUCCUGGGCAUGGGUGUAAGUACGGCGAUGCCUACUGGGGCUGCUCGGACGUGGUGCGUCGCGAUCGCACAAGAUCCCCCCACGCCGCAACUAUGCGCCCCCGCAAGGGGCGACACCAUGAUGCUGGUGAACAGGGGCUAAGCAAUUUAGCUCCGACACAGCUCCAAGCCUUGUUCGUGACACAAGCCAAUGCGUUGAAGAACUACAUGCACGAGAAGGUAAUAACGGCAACGGCAACGGCUACGACUAACCACCUCAUUUUGGAUGCUAGGAAGCAAUACUGGAAAAUUGGCGCUGACGAAUACAUUCGCAAAGCUUGCUGGCUUGCCGACCGCCUCGGCAUCGACGAUGCCACGCCCGGGGAAAAGGCCUAGUCCGACCCGGUCCCUCUGCCGCAAGUGUUCAACACUCUGCGGGCGGCGCUACUCCCGGCUCCAUCGGCGGUGCCGCCGACGGUCGCAGACGUUGAUCGGGCGCUCGACUGCAUGUCCAUCGGCGCGGCCGAGGAAGCCACAGGCGCCCAGCGGAAAGAUGAGCAUGCGCAGGCAGCAACCCUCCCUAGAGGCCUGCAGGCCACGUGCAUGGCCUCUGUCCAGGUGGCCAGGAGCAUGGCCCAAGCUGAGGAGAAGGAGCCAGAACGGGCAGCCUGAGCAAGCGCGGUGGUUGGGCUGCACUGGGCUGUUGGUGGCGCGGUGCCAGCUAGGCUGUGGAAGGCCCACCAAACGCAAUCACAUGGAUCGAGUCCAAUAGAGACCACGACUGGUGCUGGGCCAAGUGGCGCCAGCUGGGGUUGGCCUGCUGCCGCACGACAACCAGCUCACCAGGCCCACGAAUGGGGUUCCCUGCCCUGAGCUGCACGCACCCACAGCCCAGCUGCUAGACACGGCUCACCUGGGAACCGUACAUAGCUGCCUAUACAGCGAACAGGUACCUAUACCUGCCGUGCCUGCCCCAAGCAUCGACGACCUCUUCCGAACUCCUCCGCUGCCAGCACUGCUGCAGCUCCCAGCGCGGCGCACGCGCCAGCGCUGCACGCGCCAGCGCCGCACUUUUGACAUGAACAAGGUGCGACGGAGUGCGCGACUGGCCAAGAAGCCUGUCAUGCCGGCCAUUGAACGAGCGCAGCGCAACCUUUGGUGGAAGCUUGGCGUCGACGACGAUGAGAUGGCGCCAAUUGAGCAGGUACUACAAGAUUGCAUUAACAUGUAUUAGCGGCCAUGACUGCUGUCUUCGACCUCGACGAUGAUGCUGCAGAGCAGAUGAACGACGCGCUUCUAUAGAUGGCGGGCGACGCUGUAGAAGAACUCCACCAUGAGCACCAUGUGGCUCCAUGAUCAUCAAGACAAUGCACCUUGCCCAUGUGUUUUACCACUGCUCCAUGUAUCGCUACAUUUAUGUACUUCCAGUGCCUCACCCUGCUGGCUGCGACCUUCGGGGAGGACUUUCCAUUAGCCCUGCUGGCUGCGACCUUUGGGCAAAACUCGCGAACUACAAACUAUGCCCCGCUAGCUAUCAACCUCGAACUUGGUUAACAACAACUCCUGCAAUAAACAACGUCAACGAACGCCACUUACGGCCCCUACGAGAUCAACGCUCUCCCCGACGCAGCAUCACCAUCAUAGCAAAUACUACUCUACCGCAAGUCGUGCAACAUGUAAGCAAGCGCAUCAAACCACACCUGGAUGAUUGGCAACUUUGAAAUAAUGUGCUGGAAUGUGAGAGGUCUAAACGCUCCAGCUAGAUGCCUAACGGUCCGAGAAACCAUUGCAACGACAACGUGCCACAUAGCGUGCCUGCAGGAAAGAAACUUCAAAAUAUUGAUGCGGCUCUAGCAAACCUCCUGGGGGACACCGAUUAAAUCAAUUCGCAUACAAACCGGCUUCAGGCACAAUGGGGGGAAUCCUCAUCCUCUGGGAUGAUAGGGUUUUCGACAUGCAGGACUUCCAAACGGGACGUUUCUCCAUUUCAGCAACAACAAUAGUAAAAUAUAGUAACAUACACUUCCGACUCAUGACAGUGUAUGGCCCAUCACGACAUUCUGCAAAGCCUGCCUUUCUGCGGCACCUACGGGCUUUUAGACCAGAUGACGACACCAAAUGGCUCGUACUGGGGGAUUUCAACCUAAUAUACAACGCAAGAGAUAAGAAUAACAACAAUCUAAACCGGCGGCUAAUGAGGAGUUUUAGAACAACGCUAAACUACUAUGGUCUAAAAGAAAUACGCUUACAAAACAGGAGGUUCACCUGGAGCAAUGCUAGGCAUCGUCCGACUCUGUCACGGCUCGACCAAGUCUUCUGCAAUGAAAAUUGGGAUCUAAAUUUCGAUGAACAUGUCCUACACGCGCUCUCCUCCUCACACUCGGAUCACCACCCUUUGCUACUGGCACAACAAUCUUGUCCUAGAAAGCCGACGCCUUUCAAAUUUGAAAACUUCUAGCCGCGCCUACCAGGAUUCUAUGAAGUGGUAACCCGAGAGUGGUCAAAGCCGAUGAUCCACACUGAGCCAUUUCACAGACUGGGGCACAAAUUGCACACCACGGCCCGAGCACUGCGAUCCUGGAGUCGAUUGCUCGUCUCAGAUGCCAAAUUAAAGAUGCACAUGGCCCAAGAAGUCAUCCUGCGCCUCGAUACGGCCGAGGAGACAAGAACACCCACAGACCCGGAAUGCUCCUUGCGAAACAAGCUCAAAAAAAGGCUCCUGGGAUGGGCGGCCCUCGAAAAAGCAAGGAAAAAACAAUGCUCCAGGAUAACCUACCUGCGCGAGGGUGACGCUAACACAAGGUUCUUCCACUUAAAGGCGAACGCUAGAAGGAGGAAAAACUUCAUCCAAAGACUAAAGAAAGAAAGCGGCUGGGCAGUAACUCAUCAGGACAAACAAAAGGUAAUCCAAGAUCAUUUCGAAAGCAUGAUAUCCGUGCCUAACAAUCGCACCAAAGACCUAAAUUGGGAGACGCUACAUUUCCUAGUGGUUGACUUAAACAGCAUCGACAACCCUUUCUCGGAUGAAGAGAUACUACAAGCAAUUGCAGAGUUGCUAAAAAAUAAAGCGCCGGGGCCGGACGGCUUCACUGGCCUAUUCUUCAAAUCGUGCUGGAACAUAAUCAAAGGUGACAUCAUAGCGGCUGUUAACGCCUUCCACAACAUUCGCUGCAAAGACCUCAAUUUCGUCAACACAGCAAACGUUGUUCUAAUCCCCAAAAAGGAGGGUGCCGAAAGCAUCAAAGACUUCAGACCAAUAAACCUCAUACAUGCUAUCGCCAAGAUCAUUAGUAAAAUAAGACUGCAGCCGUAUAUGGAAGCACUGAUAUCACCUAGCCAAAGUGCCUUCAUAAAAGGAAGAAGCAUUCAUGAAAACUUUCUGUAUGUUCGGAACAUGGAGCGUCGAUUUCACAGGAACAGAAUGCUGACACUACUAAUGAAGCUGGAUAUCUCAAAGGCUUUUGACUCCGUGCACUGGGAUUACCUACUAUCACUAAUGCAACACAGAGGCUUCCCCAGGCGAUGGCGGGACUGGAUAGCCGCGUUACUGGCCACAUCUACCUCAAAAAUUUUGCUGAACGGAUUCCCAUCUGACCCCAUCGCGCACGGACGAGGACUACGACAAGGAGGCCCGUUAUCCCCCUUCCUCUUCAUCCUCGCGAUAGACCUACUAUACCAGCUACUACAUAAGGCAAUGGAAAUGGGACUGCUCAACAAGCUGGGAGGACGUGCACCACACACCAGCAUCUCCAUGUAUACUGACGACGCGGUCAUAUUCAUAAAACUGACACAUGCGGACAUCGCGAACACUGCAAAGCUGCUGUGCCUUUUCGGGGAGGCAACUGGGCUUAAAACAAACCUUCAAAAGACAACCGUGGCUCCCAUUAGCUGUGACAACGUGGACCUCAAGGAAGUCCUCUCAGAACUGCCGGUAACACGAACAUGCUUCCCAAUAAGAUACCUCGGACUACCCCUAGCGAUAAGGCGUCUUAAGAAACUUGAUUUUCAACCUCUAAUUGACAAAGUAGCACACAAGCUAUCCGGCUGGCAUGGCCGCAACCUCAAUCAAGCAGGACGGGUUUGCCUCACCAAAGCGGUACUUUCCAUGCAACCAUUAUAUCUGCUAACGGUGAUAAAAAUGCCAAACGAAGUACUUGAGGAACUCGACAAAAUAAGGAAAAGAUUCCUAUGGGCAGGAGAAAAAACGCUCACAGGCGGUAAAUGCAAGGUCAACUGGGUCAAAUCCUGCUUACCAAAAGUAAACGGAGGAUUAGGUGUGCUCAAUCUUCACAAGUUCGCUAGAGCAUUGAGACUGUGAUGGCUUUGGCGCGAGUGGGAGUCACCACAAAAAACAUGGAUUGGAACGGAGACACCAUGCGAUGACACGGAUCACCAUUUGUUCGCAACAUGCACAACCAUCACAGUGGGGAAUGGACGCAAGACGAGCUUCUGGCACUCAACCUGGGUGCAAGGCGUCAGGCCAAGGGACAUUGCACCCAACAUAUAUGCAAUAUCCAAAGGGAAAAAAAGGAAUCUAGCAGAGGCCUUACGCGACAACAGUUGGAUCAGGGACAUAAACAUUCACGGAGGAUUGACAACUCGGCAUCUACAAGAAUUUGUAACGCUUUGGCGUCUAGCAACAGCGAUGCAGCUGCAACCGCACCAGGAAGACACAAUUCGAUGGAAGUUUACGUCCACCGGAAAGUAUUCAACGGCCUCGGCAUACAAGGCACAGUUCCUCGGAUCCACCAAAGCACCACAUUACAAAACAAUAUGGUGUUGCUGGGCGCCACCGAAGUGCAAGUUCUUCGCGUGGCUGAUCUUACAAAACCGAGUAUGGUUAGCUGAUCGACUUGCGCGAAGAGGAUGGCCUCACUCCCUUGCAUGCCCCUUAUGUCGAAGACAAAUGGAGACGGCCCAUCACCUACUGGUCGAGUGCAGAUACACCAGGAGAAUAUGGAUCCUAGUGGCGACGUGGACGACGCAGGUGAGCAUACACCCCUCAGAAUGGUGACCAACCGACAAUGUGCUGGAUUGGUGGAUAAACAUGACUACAAAAACAGAAACUCCUAGGAAGGGUGCAUGCUCCAUGACGCUACUGGUCAUAUGGGAAAUUUGGAAGGAACGGAAUAAGCGAAUAUUCAAUUGACAAGAGACGGUAGCAAUCAUACUAAUGGCCAAAAUCAAGGAGGAAGCAAGAGCAUGGAUACUAGCAGGGGCAAAGGCCUUAGCGAUUUUUUCGUCUAGAGAGUAAUCAUGUAAAAGUGUGUACCCUAUUCGGCUAGCCAACUGUAAUUCUCUACUCUAUCAAUGAAAUAGGCACUGUCUCGUACCCAUUCGUUCAAAAAAAAGAAUUACAGCUGCCGUUCUUUGGCACGAAGAUAACAGCACAUCUGUUCAAAAGAAAAGCGAGGCACCCAGCGUUGAGGCUGUUGUCAGAGUAGCUAACCAGAACACAGUCCAACAAAGCAAAUCGACAAUCCACGAUCCUAGAUCGCCCCCACACUGAGCUCGGUAUACGUGGUUCCAACGUUGCAAUUUCUUGAGGUGUAUGGGGCUGCACUAUCUGUGGAAAUGUUAGGUGUGACCGAGUUCAAUUGCUAGUGGGCGAGAAACCUGAAUGAUGGCAUGUCCUCGAUUCUCUGAAUGUCUUCGAGCAACAGCUCCCUCUCGAGCUGGCGCCGCGUAGAUUUAAUAACUGACUGCAGCGAUUGUUCGACGAUUUGGUCAGGAUAGACAGGUACUAUGUACAAAGAACGUGUUCAAGAGAUUCCAUAUUAGAAAGGAAAGGCGUACAUUGAAAUCCAUGUAAGUGGCGUGCAUGUCGAGCCAUUUCUGAUCCAUCAGCUUAAAGGUUAUACAGUAAAGAAUGUCAAAGGCUCGAUCAUUUUCUGAACAAGAAACAAAGGUCAGAUGGUCGUACCGGUAGGUAACUGUGAAAAUAUCGUUGCACUUACCCAGCUUCUAUUAAAAGCUAAUAAUACUUAUCUCUAAUUCUCUAGAGGACCUCACAGGGGUGUUAAUCAUUACGCUUAUAAUGAUGUAUGGGUUUCUAUACCUGAAAGUAAUUGCAAAUUUUUAACUGGCCCUAGUUAACUGCAGUGUGUUUCUAAGAGAAAAUGGCCGUUAGACACAACUUGGCAAGUCAGCUGAGCUCAUUGAAGUCCUCCAAAUGAUAUAAGUAUACAGCUAAAUUGAGAAGCACUGACUAUUCAGUUAAGUCGGAGCCUGAAAGGUCUUUUGGGAUAAAAGCCUAAAUUAUAUAAGUUCUGUUUCUGUAAGAUUUCAGUCCUACAUAAAUGUAACAGCACAAGAAUGACUUACCUAAAAGUAGAUUUAGGAACACUGCUCCAAUCAAUGAUGUUGGCUUAGCUGCAGCAACAUCAGUCAUUAAAUUAUGGAUUCACAUUGUUUAUGAUAAUCACCAAAACGAAUUUCACAGUUUAGAUCAACUUAAUAAGAAAUGUUGAAAAGUUUGACGGGCAAACCUGCUUGAAGAUCAAGCAUCUGAAUUAGCAUGAAUGUAAUAUUUACACCAGCCACAGCAAAGGGAUAUUCCCACAACGCUCUAUCACCAUUCUUCUUACAAAGGAGCUCCUGGAAGGAUUUCUGCAGAGAAAGUUUUGUUUUUCCUAAUUAUGAUGCAGCAUGGCUGGACAAAUAUUAGAUCUGUACAGGGCCUACAAAAUAAAUUAUCAAUCUUUUCUCUAUUUGAUGAAGUCAUCAAUGGAUCAUUGGCUGUUCAGUUGAGGCAAUAGGCAAAGAGGCAGAGUUUCAUUGAAAAUCCAAGAAGCAUGUAAACUAUGAAAGUCCUUUAGAUCCUUUCAAGCUAGAGCUUAAUGAAUUAACAACACAUCAGAAGCAUAAGCUAGCAUUGCAGAAAUGCUGAGAUGAAUGUGAACAUGCACUUGGGUCAAGUGAUUUGUACUCACUGGAUAGGUCCUAGAGAAGUACAGUAAAUUCUCCAAAGAUAUAUAACCACCACCUCUGUAAAUCCAACAGAACAUAUGAUUACACAUUUGAAAUUAAACAAGCGAAUGGUUUGCUAAACUGUACACAUUGGAAUGAAGGCAGUAAAGACCUGAAAUCUGUAGAUGGAUCUUUCCCUUGCCAUCCCAUCUCCUUCCACUGGUCUGAUACUAAUCCUAGAAGUUCAGUUCCAGGAAAAGAAGCACGCCAAAGGGCCUUCAGUGCUUUCUAAUGGAUAUAUGUGUCAGUACAUAACCAAAAUUAGAUAGAACUCAGGAAACGAGAUGGAAAUGCAUGCUCUAGAUUUCCAUGCAAAACUGAAACAUUAUUCAGAUAUCUUUAGUUCUUAGGGCACAGGACCACCAGAAACAAAUUAUUACAAACAAGGGUAACAAUUCAUAAGCAGGCAUAUGAUUGUUGUACGGUUAAAUCAACCGGCUAAUUUGAGUAGUCCCGACCUCCUUUUUCUUAAUACCUACUUGUGUCUAAUUAAAGUGAUAGAUUGAAAAGUGAAAUGUGCAAGUGGCCUCAAGCCCGUUGUAAAUAUUAGUUUUUUUUUCUUUUCCCAAAACCCAAACAUGCAUGAGAAUGCAACUGUACUGUUAGGUAGGUAUAUCAACACACGUUAUACCAGGCCAGUUGCCAUCUUGAAUUUGGAAACUAAAGCUCAUCACAGCACAUUCAACAGUAACAAAGAAAAAAAAUGUGCAUUUCAGUUAUGAUGUUUGCAUGCUUGAACUAACAAGGUUCUGAUAUCAGCUAAAGCUCAUACCUGAUGCUCUAGGUUUGAACUAUCAUACUGCACUUCUAUCCGGUUCUGCAAUCUCUGCAAGCACUCUUCCUGGAACAGAGAAUGAUCCAUUGUUAUUCCUGUAGGAAUUUUCAUUGUCCUAUGAAAUAUCAAUCAUAAAAAUAUGACAGCAACAAUACACAAUGUAAUCAGAAAAGGACACGUGUCAAAUCCAUCAAUACUACACUGACAUGACAUGAUGCUACUUCGCGUUUCUAUAUAUCUCAAAAGAAGGGUAAAAGACACCAGAAUGUAAUAUCUCAAUUCUUCUUUCUCAGAAAGAAAUCCACAAGGAAGAAAGGAUAUGUUCCUAACCCCUGCAUUGACACAUAAGUUACUACAUUAUGGAACCAUUGACGUCCCAUGACUUGGAAAGAACACAAAGUAAUCACAAAAGACCAUCCCUGUCGAAGCCAUGGAGUUACAUGACAUGGUUUUCCUGCUGCCAUGAAUCACAAUACCAAACAUGCAUUACGCUUCAAGACAGAGCUGUUUCAACAAUUGCACCAAUCAGACUCAGAAUGUUCCCCUGUAUGUUCCCAUCACCAUCGUGCUUCCGGUUAUCACAGGAACUCAUAUUUAGACCAUUUCAGGGGAGGAUUCAUCAUUCAUGUUUCAGAAUGAUCACGUAUUCACGUGCCACAAGAAAAAAUAAACAGAGAGGAGAAGAUGUUUCUAAGUUGCUAACGCCUGCGUGGAAGACGUGAUAAGCCAUUAUGGAUUUGAACGAGAAAGAAUUUUUCACCUGAAUGGGGCUCAGAUCGAAUGAGAGGCGCGCGUCGCUAUCCCUUCUCUGCGCGCAGACGCACGAGAGCCCCCUCCCGAUCCACGCCGUGGACACGCCCACGACCUCCGCUGCGGGCGCACGAACAUGGAGCGGGAAGAGAAACCAUCACCGUGUGAGCCUCUGCACCGAGACAAACCACCGCAAUCAAACGACGGGAACACGCGCGUACCCGGCGAGGAGUGGGAGUGGUGGUGGUGGACGAUGCCGGCGCCGGAGAGGCGGCGCACGGCGAGGAAGGAGCCGGCAUUCUGGUCCAUGCCGAACGAGCGCGCGCGCGCGCUGCUCUCCGCCUCCUCGACCUCGCCCUCCUCCCCCGUCUCUCUCUCUCUCUCCUCUCUCCCUUCUCCACCUACGCGCCGCGAUCCGCGCGGGAAACCAUGGAUGGCUGGGGCGGAGGGAGGCCGCGGCUCCCCAAUCCUGGCGUGCGCGAGAUCCCACGGACGGAUCGACCACGAGGGCUGUCCCCGCGCCGCGCCGCGCCGGUGGCGCCCCCCUUGUUUAGUUGGUCCGUUUGGCUGGCAACUUGGCGCUUCUCGUUUGGCUUGGCCCCGGAUGGUGGCGCGAAUUAUUGAGGUGGUCUCCCUGUUUGAGAAUUGAGACGCGAAGGGCGUUUAGUAGCUUAGAAAGCAACUUUCCUUUCCUAGACAGGCAGGUAGAAUUGAAUCUUCCAAAUGAAUGCCUUAAUAAGGUUAGCAAUGCUGUAUUUAACAGCACCAAAAGAAGACAGAAAUCUGAAUUUCACUGAAGAAUACAAUGUUCAGAGAUAAAUCAGUCUAUCAAAGAUGAAUAAAAGAUGUCAAAGAGCUUAUCAAGAUCAUCAACCUUGUCUCCCAACGGGCGAAGAUCUAGACCAACCACAGUGUGGGUUCCCAAAGACUGUCAGCAUAUUCCAGACCAAGUGGCCAAAUAUAUCAUUCAUAAUUAGUCAUUCUAUAGCUGCAGCAUAAAAUAUAUUGAUACACGUGGGAAGCAAGAUGCAUAGGCCAACGGUAAAUGAGCUUUUUUAAGCUUAUUUUCUUAUUAGUGAAACCAGAAGAUCUUCAGUUUCGAAAAAAGAACCAGAAGAUCCACAUUCUACAGUGCAACACAAAUUUACAACUUAUCUAUGAAGUACAUCAAACCUGUCAAAAAGGUUUGCUGUAAUUCAUACUCCAUAAACAUUAUUGGAUAUCGAUCCUACACUCCUAUUCAGAAACAAGAUUAAUCGAAGCAAAAAAAAAAGGUAAGUGAUUCU
rnacentral:lncRNA from 1 species